rnacentral:rRNA from 1 species
CCGACUUCAGGUACCCCAGACUUCCAUGGCUUGACGGGCGGUGUGUACAAGGCCCGGGAACGUAUUCACCGCGCCAUGGCUGAUGCGCGAUUACUAGCGAUUCCAGCUUCAUAGAGUCGAGUUGCAGACUCCAAUCCGAACUGAGACCGGCUUUCGAGAUUCGCAUCCUGUCACCAGGUAGCUGCCCUCUGUACCGGCCAUUGUAUUACGUGUGUGGCCCAAGACGUAAGGGCCGUGAUGAUUUGACGUCAUCCCCACCUUCCUCUCUACUUGCGUAGGCAGUCCCAACAGAGUCCCCAACUGAAUGAUGGCAACUGUUGGCAGGGGUUGCGCUCGUUGCAGGACUUAACCUAACACCUCACGGCACGAGCUGACGACAACCAUGCAGCACCUUGAAAAUUGCCCGAAGGAGGAUCUAUUUCUAAAUCUGUCAAUUCCCAUUUAAGUCUUGGUAAGGUUCCUCGCGUAUCAUCGAAUUAAACCACAUAAUCCACCGCUUGUGCGGGCCCCCGUCAAUUCCUUUGAGUUUCAUCCUUGCGGACGUACUCCCCAGGUGGCUAACUUAUCACUUUCGCUUGGUCUCUGAACCCGAAGAUCCAAAAACGAGUUAGCAUCGUUUACGGCGUGGACUACCAGGGUAUCUAAUCCUGUUCGCUCCCCACGCUUUCGUCCAUCAGCGUCAGUUAAAUCUUAGUGACCUGCCUUCGCAAUCGGUGUUCUAAGUAAUAUCUAUGCAUUUCACCGCUACACUACUUAUUCCAGCCACUUCAAAUUUACUCAAGGCCUGCAGUAUCAAUGGCAGUUUCAUAGUUAAGCUAUGAGAUUUCACCACUGACUUACAGGCCCGCCUACGGACCCUUUAAACCCAAUAAAUCCGGAUAACGCUCGCACCCUCCGUAUUACCGCGGCUGCUGGCACGGAGUUAGCCGGUGCUUAUUCGUACAGUACCUUCAGCUGCCCUCACGAGGGCAGGUUUAUCCCUGUACAAAAGAAGUUUACAAUCCAUAGGACCGUCAUCCUUCACGCGGGAUGGCUGGAUCAGGCUUCCACCCAUUGUCCAAUAUUCCUCACUGCUGCCUCCCGUAGGAGUCUGGUCCGUGUCUCAGUACCAGUGUGGGGGAUCUCCCUCUCAGGACCCCUAAAGAUCAUCGACUUGGUGGGCCGUUACCCCGCCAACUAUCUAAUCUUGCGCGUGCCCAUCUCUAUCCGCCGAGGCUUUCAAUGGCGACCGAUGCCGGACACCAUAUUAUGGGGUAUUAAUCUUCCUUUCGAAAGGCUAUCCCCCAGAUAAAGGCAGGUUGCACACGUGUUACGCACCCGUACGCCGCUCUC